rnacentral:lncRNA from 1 species
GCUCGGCUCGUUUCCACCCCUAACCAUUUCUCGUUUGUGAAAUAUCGCCAUCCGACUCGCAAAAAGGUCCUAUACAAAAUUAAAAUUUUAAUCAGCCCAACUUUAAUUUUAUAAAAUAAAAAUAUCUUAAUAUGUUAUUUAAAUUAACUUAUAUUAUAAUUUUAUCCUUUUUAGGCUUAGUUUGGCAUUGUGGCCUAUCGAACGCUAUUAGAUAAAAUAGAGUUGAGGAGAGAUAUGCUUCUGCGUUCUUCGGUGGGACCGUAGAAAAUAUAUCGUAACCGACUCAUUGCGAUAUGUGGAACGCAAUAUUACGUACGGAAACAAACAGGAUAUUUUUCUAACGUACUUUCUCACCGCACGUAACGUAAUAUCCCCGCAAUCCUAGCCGCACGUAACGCAAUAUCCCCGUAAUCCCAAACAAAGUCUUAGACCACUGGUUUUGUGCUUUUCGAAAAUAAACUAUUUUUUUGGAGUUUGAAGAGUAGGUCUAGAUUUUUAGUAAACCGAUAAAAAAAAAAAAAAUUCUCCCUUUCCUUUU